rnacentral:tRNA from 2 species
GGGUCUUUAGCUUAAAGGUAAAGCAAUCAGCUCAUAACUGAUAGGAUAGGAGUUCGAGUCUCUUAGGACCCA